rnacentral:rRNA from 1 species
AACGAACGCUGGCGGCGUGCCUAACACAUGCAAGUCGAGCGCGAAAAGAGCAAUCUGAGUAGAGCGGCGCACGGGUGCGUAACACGUGGAUAAUCUGCCUCAGGGUUGAGGAUAACCUUCCGAAAGGUUGGCUAAUACUCGGUAAGCUUACGGUGACUUUGGUCGCUGUGAGAAAAGUAGACCUCUAUUUAUAAGUUUACGCCCAGAGAUGAGUCCGCGGCCCAUCAGCUAGUUGGCGGGGUAACGGCCCACCAAGGCAACGACGGGUAGCUGGUCUGAGAGGACGAUCAGCCACACUGGAACUGAGACACGGUCCAGACUCCUACGGGAGGCAGCAGUGGGGAAUUUUCCGACAAUGGGCGAAAGCCUGAUGGAGCAACGCCGCGUGUGUGAUGAAGGUCUUCGGAUCGUAAAGCACUUUCGACCGGGACGAAAAACCUCUGGCUAACAUCCAGGGCCUGACGGUACCGGGAGAA